CCUACGGGAGGCAGCAGUAGGGAAUUUUCGUCAAUGGGCGCAAGCCUGAACGAGCAAUGCCGCGUGAACGAGGAAGGUCUUCGGAUCGUAAAGUUCUGUUGAAGGGGAAAAAGAGCGGAGAGAGGAAAUGAACUCCGAUUGAUAUUACCCUUCGAGGCAGUCACGGCAAACUACGUGCCAGCAGCCGCGGUAAUACGUAGGUGGCGAGCGUUAUCCGGAAUGAUUGGGCGUAAAGGGUGCGUAGGCGGUCUGCUACGUCUGUAGUGAACGGUACCGGCUCAACCGGUAGAGGCUCUGGAAACUGGCGGGCUAGAGAGCAGGAGAGGGCGGGGGAACUCCAGGUGUAGCGGUAAAAUGCGUAGAUAUAUGGAAGAACACCAGUGGCGAAGGCGGCCGCCUGGCCUGUUACUGACGCUGAGGCACGAAAGCGUGGGGAGCAAAUAGGAUUAGAUACCCUUGUAGUC
rnacentral:rRNA from 1 species